rnacentral:lncRNA from 1 species
AUGGCGUUGUGGAAGUGGUGGGAGCGCUGCGGCUGCAGGAAGCCAUGCAGCUCGUCCAGCAGCGGCCGCGGCAGGAGCUCCACGUCGUCCAGCACCAAGAGUGGGGUCUUCUCCUCCGCUUCGGCCCGCCACCAUCGCCACGCGCCAGCUCCUCGCGGCAGUCUUGUGCGGCGCUUCGGGCAGUGGUGCCAGCGUGGUACUGCAGCACAAGCGAGCUGUCCUCCAACACCGAAGCGGAAGUGGCGCCAGCAGACGGCCACGUGGCUCUUGCCCACGCCACUGGGCCCGUGCAGCUCAGGAGAGCGGACGACUGUGCACGUGCGUGGCCAGGUAGUCCCGCAUCAGCGCCACGAUGCGCGCUAUGGCUGCGGGCUGGCCAAACACCGCGCGCUGCAGCGCCUUCUCCAGCCCAUCGAGGUCAUAGCGCUGCGCGUUAUCGUCCAGGUUCUCGAUAGCGUUGAGAACUUGGAAGCCCACGAUGGCGACCAGCAGCAGCAGGCAGUGCUGCGCGCGGCUCCUGUGCUCCACGCGCGGCCGAUACUUGCGCGAGGUCUCUGGGUAAAGCACCAGACGGCUGCGCCGGCGCUUCUUGCGUGGCGUCCUGGAGGGCAGCUCCGCGGGGCCGUCGAAGGUGAAGAACUGCGGCUGGUCCAGGUCCCCGCGCGGCGCCGGGGCUGCAGCCCGGCCUGGGCACCCGGUCCCGACGUCAGGCCCCCACCCAGCUGCAGGAGGCGCCGCUUGCGUAGGACGCACACCCGGCGGCGCAGGCGGAGCACGGCGCGCACGGGCGCGAUCAUGCACCGGCCCGUGGCUUGGGGGGCCGCGGCAGCAGGCUCCAGGCUGGGUUGGCCGCGGUCCAUGGCGCAGGAACGGCGCUCCGCAUACAGGUCGCCCUCCCUGCAACGGGAAGACGGGGAGGGUCUCUGGACUCCCGCCACCGCCCUUUCCCGCGGGUCGCUGGAACCGGUCCCCGGAGUGAUCUUACCCCCCGGGAGUCCCGCAGGGUGUGCCCCGGGCUGCCCCAGUGCCAGGGCCUGGUCGCGGCCUCGUCCCUCAGACCGGGAAGCGGCCCCUCUGCAGGGCCCCGAUGCAAAUCUCUCGGGUCCUCCCAUAAACGGCCGAGGGCCUUAA